GACGUAGGGCGCGAGCGUUGUCCGGAUUUAUUGGGCGUAAAGAGCUCGUAGGCGGCUCGUUGCGUCGGCUGUGAAAACCCGCAGCUCAACUGUGGGCUUGCAGCCGAUACGGGCGGGCUGGAGUUCGGUAGGGGAGACUGGAAUUCCUGGUGUAGCGGUGAAAUGCGCAGAUAUCAGGAGGAACACCUAUUGCGAAGGCAGCUCGCUGGGACGUAACUGACGCUGAGACGCGAAAGCGUGGGGAGCAAACAGG
rnacentral:rRNA from 1 species